GAUGAACGCUGGCGGCGUGCCUAAUACAUGCAAGUCGAGCGAACAGACGAGAAGCUUGCUCCUCUGACGUUAGCGGCGGACGGGUGAGUAACACGUGGAUAACCUACCUAUAAGACUGGGAUAACUUCGGGAAACCGGAGCUAAUACCGGAUAAUAUAUUGAACCGCAUGGUUCAAUAGUAAAAGACGGUUUUGCUGUCACUUAUAGAUGGAUCCGCGCCGCAUUAGCUAGUUGGUAAGGUAACGGCUUACCAAGGCAACGAUGCAUAGCCGACCUGAGAGGGUGAUCGGCCACACUGGAACUGAGACACGGUCCAGACUCCUACGGGAGGCAGCAGUAGGGAAUCUUCCGCAAUGGGCGAAAGCCUGACGGAGCAACGCCGCGUGAGUGAUGAAGGUCUUCGGAUCGUAAAACUCUGUUAUUAGGGAAGAACAAAUGUGUAAGUAACUAUGCACGUCUUGACGGUACCUAAUCAGAAAGCCACGGCUAACUACGUG
rnacentral:rRNA from 1 species